GUCCAGAGAAGCCUGGGCUUUCCCCUGAGUCCCCAGGGACCCCGUUGCCGGGCUCAGGCCCUCUCAGGAGCCCAUUCUGUCCUCCACGCGGGUCUUAAGGAUGGAAUUCUGCAUCCCUGGCCCCUCCCAGAUGGAGCCCUGGACACUGCGGAGGCUGAGCCUCAGUAUUCCCCAUGCCCCAGAGCUGUGCUGUCCCCCAGGCUGGGAGCUGGGGCAGAAGUCAACUCCAGCCUACAUGGGCCCAGCAGCUACCUCCAGAUGCCCCAAAACAGGUGCAAAGGGAUACCCAGCUGCUCAUGAAAAUGAAUCCCAGAUGGAGACAAAGAGCCCUGCCUGGCCCUGGCCUGGCGUGGCCGGAUGUCCCUUUCCACCUUCCUGCUCACAGAGGAGGCUGGGCUUCUGAGGCCUGAGGGGCCAGGCAGGAAGCCAUGGGCCACAAGGCACCCCUGGGCCCCCGCUCCCCGACUUCCUGCAUGGUAGAAGGCCCGUCCCGGGGCCAACUGCCUCUGCCACCACUGCCUGGAUGAGUGAGGGCAGGAGGUGGAAGGGAUUGAUGCAGUGCGCACACGCACGCGCCAAUCGUGUUUGGAGGAGCUCGGAGGAUUUAUGCAAAUGGGCCUGCCGGGAGAGGCAAUUUGUAGCCGAGAAGGACAAUUAUACCAGGCCCGGGAGUGCGCCAACGACUGCGCCGGGCGGGUAAUGGAUAAUAACAUCGCGCCGGCAGCCGUGAGCAGCUCCACAGCGUGACCAACGACUUUAUACAGUGCAGAUAAAGAGGCCUGCACGCAACACCGCCUCACACUCCAGGGGGGCCGGGCGGGGACGAUGCCACAGCCAGGUGUGCAGAGCCGGCGUGGCUGGGCCUGGGGGCCGUGACUUCCAGAGGGGGACCCGGGCCAGGGUGGUGCUGGGAGCUGCCAGAAGGGCAAAGCCUGUCUGGAGCAGGGCUCUGUCUGCUGGUCACUCUCGAUGGUCUAGGAAGGGCAGGGCCAGGCCUUCAGAGUAGGUGUGAAGGGGCACCAGCAGCCUGGAAGCCUCAGGGGAGCCUGGACCCUGCUCCCCAGCCUCGAGGGCCCAGGGCCGGCCACACGCGCCCUGCCAUGCCAGUGCCCAGG
rnacentral:lncRNA from 1 species